rfam:Schistosoma margrebowiei strain Zambia genome assembly, scaffold: SMRZ_scaffold0002171
AUCCGACUGACGAGUCCCAACUGGGACGAAACGCGCGUCCUGGAU